rnacentral:lncRNA from 1 species
AACAAAGUGAGAGAAAAAAUAUCGAACUUGUGUAUGUGUAAUAUGUAAACGUUUAACUAUUAAAAAAAAACAUAGAUAAUAAAAAGUUAUUCAACGUAGUGUUUCUUACCUCUUCUUCACUUUCUAGUGAGUCUUGUGGCGACUUUCUACCGCCUCGCUGAGAACAAAUGGAUUGUUCUUAACAUUUGUCAGUUUCCGUUUUCGUUUGGUGAUCU